AAUGAGAUGCCUGAUUAAAGGUCUAUUUUGAUAGAAUAGCUUAAGUAAUUUAGUAUUACUCUUGUUA
rnacentral:tRNA from 1 species